rnacentral:rRNA from 3 species
GGGUUGUGAGGUUAAGCGACUAAGCGUACACGGUGGAUGCCCUGGCAGUCAGAGGCGAUGAAGGACGUGCUAAUCUGCGAUAAGCGCCGGUAAGGUGAUAUGAACCGUUAUAACCGGCGAUUUCCGAAUGGGGAAACCCAGUGUGACUCGUCACACUAUCAUUAACUGAAUCCAUAGGUUAAUGAGGCGAACCGGGGGAACUGAAACAUCUAAGUACCCCGAGGAAAAGAAAUCAACCGAGAUUCCCCCAGUAGCGGCGAGCGAACGGGGAGGAGCCCAGAGCCUGAAUCAGCAUGUGUGUUAGUGGAAGCGUCUGGAAAGGCGCGCGAUACAGGGUGACAGCCCCGUACACAAAAGCGCAUGUGCUGUGAGCUCGAUGAGUAGGGCGGGACACGUGGUAUCCUGUCUGAAUAUGGGGGGACCAUCCUCCAAGGCUAAAUACUCCUGACUGACCGAUAGUGAACCAGUACCGUGAGGGAAAGGCGAAAAGAACCCCGGCGAGGGGAGUGAAAAAGAACCUGAAACCGUGUACGUACAAGCAGUGGGAGCACAGGUUUACCUGUGUGACUGCGUACCUUUUGUAUAAUGGGUCAGCGACUUAUAUUCUGUAGCAAGGUUAACCGUAUAGGGGAGCCGUAGGGAAACCGAGUCUUAAC